rnacentral:misc_RNA from 1 species
GCAAACUUGGUCAUUUAGAGGAAGUAAAAGUCGUAACAAGGUUUCCGUAGGUGAACCUGCGGAAGGAUCAUUACUGAGUUUUGAAAAGGGUUGUAGCUGGUCUUUUUAAAUAAGGACAUGUGCACACUCUGCUCAUCCACUCUUAAAUCUAAUGUGCAUCUAUGUAGAGUUUGGUGAAAUUGGGUCGAAAGACUUGAUAGGAUCCUACUCUAUGUCCAUAUACAAACGUCCUAGUUAUAGAAUGUUGCCUAGUGUUUAAUACAUUAUAAUAUAACUUUCAGCAACGGAUCUCUUGGCUCUCGCAUCGAUGAAGAACGCAGC